rnacentral:rRNA from 3 species
CUCAUAAAGUGCGUCGUAGUCCGGAUUGGAGUCUGCAACUCGACUCCAUGAAGUCGGAAUCGCUAGUAAUCGUGGAUCAGAAUGCCACGGUGAAUACGUUCCCGGGCCUUGUACACACCGCCCGUCACACCAUGGGAGUGGGUUGCAAAAGAAGUAGGUAGCUUAACCUUCGGGAGGGCGCUUACCACUUUGUGAUUCAUGACUGGGGUGAAGUCGUAACAAGGUAACCGUAGGGGAACCUGCGGUUGGAUCACCUCCUUACCUUAAAGAA